CAAUCACUUGUCUUUUAAAUGGAGACCUGUAUGAAUGGCACGACGAGGGCUUAACUGUCUCCUUUCCUAAGUCAAUGAAAUUGAUCUCUCCGUGCAGAAGCGGGGAUAAACCCAUAAGACGAGAAGACCCUAUGGAGCUUCAGACACUAAAACAGCUCAUGUUAAAAACCCUCACAAAAGAGGCUAAACUAGAUGACCCCUGUCCUAAUGUCUUUGGUUGGGGCGACCACGGGGCAACAAAAAACCCCCGCGCGGAACAGAAACACUGUUUCCAGAACCAAGAGCACCCGCUCUAAGUAACAAGACCCACUUGACCUUUGAGAUCCGGCACAAGCCGAUCAACGGACCGAGUUACCCUAGGGAUAACAGCGCAAUCUUCUUCGAGAGUUCA
rnacentral:rRNA from 1 species